rnacentral:rRNA from 1 species
CCCUUAGAUGUUCUGGGCCGCACGCGCGCUACACUGAUGCAUUCAACGAGCCUAUCCUUGACCGACAGGUCCGGGUAAUCUUUGAAUCUGCAUCGUGACGGGGAUAGAUUAUUGCAAUUAUUAAUCUUCAACGAGGAAUGCCUAGUAGGCGCAAGUCAUCAGCUUGCGUCGAUUACGUCCCUGCCCUUUGUACACACCGCCCGUCGCUCCUACCGCUUGGGUGUGCUGGUGAAAUGUUCGGAUCGGCCGUUUGUCGCGGUUUCCGCGGCUCGUGGCUGAGAAGUUCAUUAAACCCUCCCACCUAGAGGAAGGAGAAGUCGUAACA